UCCACUCACUUUGUCUCUCUCUUAUCUCUUCAUUUCACUUGCGUCCACCACAGCCACUAGUUCCUCUCUCCCUCUCUCUUUCUCUCUCUUCCUGUCAUGCAAGUUUCGAUCGAUGGGCGUCGUACGGGCUCUCAAAAGCGAGCAAGGAAGCGAGCUAGUACCUCCAGCCCGGCCGGCUAGCAGGCAGCCUCUGCGCCGUGUCCUGGUCCACGUUCCUACGGCCGAAGCUCUGCGCGUGUGGACGUUCUUGUCAAAGGUAGCUAGCUAGCUAGCUUGUUUGAUCAUCCUGUGGCUGAAGCUCUCUGUGCGUGUGGAUGUUCCACCGAAGCCGGACGGAGCCAGAGCGCCGGAGGGGAACCAGAGCGCUCCGGAUGGGCUGAAGGGCUUCUGCGGUUCCAUGGCUGCGGUGCGCGCGCCUGCGGCAGCUUCGGGGCGCGCCGGCGGGUGUUCCUGGCCAAGUGCAGCCACUCGUUCCUCUCUCUCCAGCCUCUCUCUUCCUCUCUCCUUUGUUCUUUGUUAGUAUAUGGAUGAGAUAAGUCGUUUUAAUUAUGUUUUUAUAUUUGAGAUGAGUAUAUGGAUGAGAUAGUUGAUUUGUGCUUGUGUUCGUAUGG